GGAAAAUACCAAACAGGAAGUAGUAGUUUAACUUUGAAGGCAGAAUCCUGCUGUCACUGAGUGUUGACAGCUCUGCAGAGAAACGAAACUUAGAGCUCUGAGGUUUCUGAGUUCAGGAGAAGAAUUCAGAAGAAAAAUCUUCACUGUUCUGUUUUCCUGCUGUUGGUCUGUGAAUUAAAAAAAAAACACUUCCUCAAACUAAAUCACAUCUGUACAGUCAAAGCACUCCUCAGUCCUGCUGCUGCAGCCGGACGGUGGACACACCUGGACAACACCUGCACAACAUCUGGACACACCUGGACUACACCUUUAGUCUCAUUAUGGCCGCUCUCACCUGGUUCCUCACCUUCAUUUGUGCUGCAGGAAGUCACCUGUCUUCAGCCUCACCUGUUCUCCACUCAGCCCCUGAUGUCCAGGCUGGACAGAACGUUUCUCUGAGCUGCAACCUGACGUCCACGCUGGAGAUCACCUGGUUCCUGCUGCGUUCUGAGCAGCUGCUGCCUCUGCUAACAGUAACCCAGACUAAACUACGGGGGAACGUGGUCAGUUUCCACUCUGGAAACCCUCGUCUGACCUGGGAAAGAGACGACCAGAUGGGUCUGAACCUUCAGGAGGUUGAAGAGGAGGAUGCCGGGCUGUAUUUCUGUACCUCUCGGUCAGACGGAGAUGUUCUGGUAAAUGGAGGAAUUCUCCUGACUGUGAACGGAGCCGAUGGGUCCAGCAGAGUAAAGCUGCCAUGCUGGAGUCCGGGGAUCUGCCUUCUUCCAGGUUUAUUCACCUUCUGCUUCAUCAGCAUGGUUGGAUUCUACCUGUGCUCAGGUAAACCAGCUGGUUACUGCUGUAAUCCAGAAGGACGGGACGCCAGCCUGAGGACCACCGAGGAAGAGUCGCUGCAUUACUCCAGUCUGAAGCUUCCAGACAAGCCCCGCCCCUCUGGCAGGCGAGAGCCUCGAUUGGUUGAAGAGAAUGUGACGUACUCAGCAGUGAUGAGUCGCAAGAACCCGAACCAAUCACACGGCCACAAAUAGAAAGCCUUUUAUUCACUGUUACUUUAUUUUAUUUAGUAUUUGGAUGUGUUGUAAACGAUGAAGAGUUUGUUCUCCACCAGUGCUUAAAAAUAAUAAUAAUAAUGAUGAAGAUGGUGAUGAUAAGAAUAAUGAUAAUGGCAAUAAUAAUAAUAAUAACAGUAGUAAUAAUACUACUACUAAUAAUAGUAAUAAUAAUGACAAUAAUAAUAAUUAUUAUUGUUAUAUAAACAUUAAUGGGUAAUUGUGAUUAAUGGAUUCAGUUGAAGUAGACGGUCCUCUCACUGACUGUAUGAGCAUAAAUUAUCUACAUGUGAAUGGACAUAUGAUACAAAAUUUAUUAUAAAAACUAUUUACUAACAUCUUAGUGGCAAAUUCAUUUUUGGAGUUGCUAUAAAGUAAAUGGAAAAAAAUCACUUUUGCACAGAUACCUUUAAGUGGCUUUUAAUCAUCAAAUGAUGCACUCAGGUGUUAAAAAAAGAAGGUAUAAUUAUUAUAUAAUUUUUAUUAAUUAUAAAACAACAGCAGCUCAUAAACUUCUAAUUUCACGUGUGUUGGUUAGAAGUAGCUGAUAACUUCUAGACUGUUAUAUACGUGGCAAUAAAUCCAUAUAGUUUUUGUCAAUAAGCAGCUUUAGCUUCCAUGUAAACAUUGUUGAUGUUGGCGUUCAGACACCAGGGGGCGUUGCAGGAUGGAGAUAGAUAAUUAAAGACUGGUCACCUUCAUGAGAAAAAGAUCUCACCUGAAAUCACUAAUACACUCAUAUCUAUAGUAAAUUAGAUUUAUGUUCAUUUUAUUUCCUAAAUAAAUUUAUAACAUCACCAUAAUGACUGAUUUAUUGAUGAUUUUCAAAUAUAAAGUCAAAUAUUUGCUGAUUUUAGCUACAAAAUAAAGAUUUGCUGCUUUCUUUGGAUCAUACGUCACAGAAAAUGCUCCAUCUUUGAGUUAAAAACUAGCAGGUAAAGAACUAUUUGACUUUUCUAAACAAACUGACAACAUUUUAAUAUCUUCUUAUUUAAAUAAACUAAUUAUCAUGUUUUAUAUGACUGAAGCUGCAGAUUCGCUGCCGACUUGCUGAAGAGAAAAAACUGACUGUACUUUAUGUAAAUAAAGUUUUCUGUUCCUGAUAUUUUGGAGCUUUGCUCUUUUGCACAUUGAAACCAAUAAUCAUGUCCAUAAACAGAAACUGAAUGUUAAAUGUCUCUUACCAUCUGCACAACAGCAGAAAGUUUAUUUUUCUGUCUAUAAUGUUUAUCUGGAGCCUCUACUGUCUUUAUAUUGCUGCUAAAUGUUCCUUUUCCAAUAAAAUCUUCUCAUAUCACACGCUGUGUUUCUACUGUCAUGGGUUCAUGGCUCAAACCUAAACCUGCUUUGACUGAGUUUAUGUUUUUUGUCAUGUGGACAUUUAAAUUUGUGUUAUUUUUACAUUUUUCCAGGUGUUUCCUGUGUGAAGCGACACCAUCCGGCUUCCUCAGACAAAGGUAUGUUUUCUGACUUUAUUAUUUCUCUGCACAUUUACACAAGUUAACUUAUUGGAUCUGAUCAUUUUCAGGGUGUGACCUGGUCAGAAUGAUCAGCUUUGUCAUUUUCUUUCACUUUUACUUCCUCAGAUAUUAAUUUGCUAAAGCUCUUUGGCACAUGAGGGAAAAGGAGACUCAACAUUACAAUCCCUAAAAGUCUGUACAGAUAAAGGGAAAUAAAGACGUGUAGAUAAAUAAUAGGAAAUAAAGACUUUAGUGCAGAUAAAUAAUGGGAAAUAAAGACUUUAGUGCAGAUAAAGGGAAAUAAAGACGUGUAGAUAAAUAAUGGGAAAUAAGGACUUUAGUGCAGAUAAAGGGAAAUAAAGACGUGUAGAUAAAUAAUGGGAAAUAAGGACUUUAGUGCAGAUAAAGGGAAAUAAAGACUAGUGCAGAUAAAUAAAGGGAAAUAAAGACUUAAGUUGAUUUCAUUCAAAUGUCAAAAGUAGCAAAAACCUGAAAGUUCACUCUGCUGUUGACGGACAUUUAGAGGAAACUGGAUGACAUUUUCUAGCUGUGAACGAAACAAUCUGCAGAAUGAAAGGAUAAAAACAUGUUCCAUGAAAUCAUUUAUACAGAAACCAAUAGUCAGAAAAUGGAGUUUGGAAAUUAUGCUUUAGAUUUUUUAAAUCACUCAUCUGUGUAUACACCAAAUUCAUGUUUAUUUAUAUUAAUAUUGAAAUGUGGAGCUUUGAAAACUUUCAAAUUCAUAAAAAGACAAAAACUAGAGAUGAAGCCGUUUUACAUGUAUAGACUAUUACAGUCUGAGUUUCAUAGUUUUAGGGCUGAAACUAUAUUUAACUUUACAACUUUGAAGUGUUUUGUGAAAAUAUAUUGAUUUAUAAUCACUAAAAAUGUGUUCAUCUCUGGAAACCUGUCGUUUUACAUGUGUUUGGGGCUCCUGGCAGGUUUACACGUUCAUUAAACUAGAACAAUAAAAAUUCACACUUUAAUAGUAAAUCCAUCUGAAACCAACACUCUUUUCUUGACCAUCUCUGAUUUUUCUCAUUUUCUUAUAUCAUGAAAUAUGGAUAUUAAUAAAAACAACAAAUUUUAGCUCAAGAUAUCAAACAUGUCAAGGUAAAAGUUUUUUGAAAAUGUGUUAAAAUUGUUUUAGCACAUUUUUUGGGACUAUUUUUUUUAAUCGUCUUGCAAAGUAUUUUAUAUAUUUUAUGAUUUAAAAAGUUUAAUGGAUAUGAGAUGACAAGCAGAAAGCCUGUGAUGAUUUCAGACAUAGUUUUGGAACAUUUUUGGGGUCAACGGGCAAUUUUUCUAAACAUAUGUUGAUAUAUAAGAUAGACUUGUGGGUAAAUCAGAGAUGAAUCUCCCUCGGGAUUAAUAAAAUAUCUAUAUAUGGUCCAGCAGAAGACCCCUGAUGAUCUAAGAUGGUUUGUUCUGAGACAAAGAGACAAUGCAUAUGGGGUAAAAACAGUUUAAAGACAUGGAUUUUUGAGUUUCUAUCUGGCAGCAGGUCUGGUGAUGACGGACGAGUAGAUCACACUCUGAUCUGCUGGAGUCCUGCCGGGUCUUUCCCUCCAGUUCUGUCGGCCCAGAGAGGCGUAAUGGAUUGUCUCCUCAAUGGCCUCACAGUCUGCAGACAGAUGGAGUUAUAUCCUGUGAACAGAUCUGAGAUUAUGGCGGCAUUCAGAGGUCAGAGACGUUACCGGUUUGUCCGCUGGACGUCUUCCACGGCUGCAGCUCUGUGUCUUCAUGCCUCAGUGCUGCUGCAGAGGAAACAGCAUUAAGGUGAUGAUAGAAAUAUACACUACAGAAUCAUCUGCAAACAGGCAGACUUCUACUGAACGUUAGUUCCUGUUCCUGUAGAAAUAUCUGUGAAAAUCCCUUAAUUACAUGUACUGCUUCAGAUCUUUAAAAUAAGCACAUAACCAAUAUUUUUAAUAAGAAUCCUUUGCAUUUGUUUAUCUAGGAAGAGGAAAUAAGAUUUAUUUCUUUUUGCAAACUGCUUAACAAUCAUACCGAAACAAGGUAUAAGAUAUAGAAGAAAGUAAGAAAAUGCUUCUAAAUGUUAAAAAAGAAAAACACUGAUUUUGUGCAGUUUUUGUUGAAUGCGGUGAUAUAUUUACAUUUUUUUAUAAAAGGUUUUUCAUGGCAACAGAAGUUUUUGUAUCUACAAAGUGUAAAUAUCCAUAAAUUUCUUCUUAAAAAGCUAAGAAAUGCCGAUGUGAAAAAUAGUUUAUGCAACAAAAAACAAAACAACAAAAAAACUACAGAACAUCGUGAAAAGUAUUUAUUAAUUAUCAAUUAUUUUAAUGUUUGUUGAUUUUAUAUGUAAAGUGUAUUUGAGUGUUUCGAAAAUUUGUUAUUCUUCUUCUUAUUAUUAUUAUUAUUAUUAUUAAGGGUUUAUUUCAUCAAUAAAUUCUUCAUGAACUUUGAAAAUGCUUUGUAACUUUUAAUCAGUUUUAUUUUUCUGGAUCAGACGGAGGUUUCACUUUAAGUCCCUCCUCAAUUUUUUUUUUUUAAUUGUGAGGGGUGCAAGAAAAUAAAGAAUUUCAAGGAAAAAAAAGAUAAUUUAACAAAUUCUAUGUGAUGAUCUAGUGCAGUGGUUUCCAACCUGUUUGGCUUGGAGCCCCCGAUAAGAUGCACCCCAGCCCCCCAUAAGUACACUACAGUACUAACAGGGAAGUUAUUAAAUUGUAUUACAAAUAAAAAUUCCCUAAAAUUAUGAAAAAAAAUAUUUGUGCUAUGACUAACAGGAGCCAGUUUAUGGCUGCAGUAAAUGUGAUGACACUGCAGUGCAUCAGAGUUAUUGAAUUUUUAUUUAUUUUAUGUUUUACUAUAAAAACUCCUUAAAAUUAUGCAAACAUAUUGAAAAUCAAACCAAGAGUUGUAGUAUGACCAGCAUGAGCCAAUUAAUGCCUGCAUUGAAUUUGGUGACACUGCAGUGUAUCAGAGUGGAAUUAUUGAAUAUGUGUCUCUUUGCUGUUGCAACAGUUUAAUUUGCAGACGGUCCCUGUUCACUCUUCAUAGACACCAAUGUUAUUCCUGCAGCUUGAAAGACAGCUACUUUUGAUUAAACUGGGCUUGUAGCACAUUGUCUACCUCACAACGAUGUCAGGCCUGCCCCAAACAGGCAUUAGACAGGGCUCUCCAUUUUCCCCUCCCUUUCUGUGCUCUACAGGUGUGCUGGGCAUGAAGGCUGCGGUGGCAGGUAUGAAUGAUUGUAAUCAGCAGCAGCAGCGGAGCGGGAGCAGGUGGAGCCGGGCCAAUCAGAAGCCAUCUUCUCUACAAUAAAGCCUGACUCUACUCAUCAUUCUGUGCGGGACCGUGAAGGAUCGACAUCUGGAUCCCACCAGUUCGUGCCCACCUGUUCUCGCUGCAUUUGGAUCAAGAAACUCUGGCUGCAACUAUUCCUCCCACUCAAGUUCGGAGCUCACCUGGUCAGUCUCCGCCGCCUUCAGACGCCACAUCAACACGUGGCAGCUUCCGGUACACCUGUCUCCCUCCGGGACCCUCCUCCGUGUGCAGCUCCCCCUACCAGCUGGACACCAGCCCUCACCUCCCUUUCCCCGUCCAUUCAUGCUGUUCCUGGGCACGAGCCUUCCAGACUAGUGAGUUAGUGUUUGGUAAAUGAUAGUUCUUGUGUCUGAGUAUAGUACAACUCUAGUUUGCUUAAAGUAGCCUUUGGAUUCUUAUUGAGUUUGGAAUUAUUCUUGUAUCCGCUGUUAGUUCCAGCGUAGAUAAUAUGUUGCCAGUUAUAGUCUGCUUCUUGUUUCAUUAGAAUUUUGCUCAUUUGAUCUUCGCUCUAGAAUUCUGUUAUUUGCUUUCCUACCUAAGUGAUGCCAAACGUGGGUCAGUCCAUUAUUUUGUAGUUUGAACUCCGCCAGUCCACUAGGGGAACCCUCGUAGCGGUAGUCUUCUUGUCGCGCUCUAUUAAGCGUCAUUUCCGGUUCUCGUCUACCGGACAUAUUUGUAGUUUUUUGUGUUUCCGGAAUCUGUGAAUAAAUCCUUGUUUUGAAGACUCAUCUGGUCUCUUUCCUCAUUCCUGCACCUGAGCCUCACUGAACCUGUAACAAACGAUGGGAAACGGGCAUCAUUUUUGUUUAGACAAUGUAUAUCUAAUGAGUUAUUGAUGCCGG
ensembl:lncRNA